CCUACGUGAGGCAGCAGUCGAGAAUCAUUCACAAUGGGGGAAACCCUGAUGGUGCGACGCCGCGUGGGGGAAUGAAGGUCUUCGGAUUGUAAACCCCUGUCAUGUGGGAGCAAAUUAAAAAGAUAGUACCACAAGAGGAAGAGACGGCUAACUCUGUGCCAGCAGCCGCGUUAAUACAGAGUUCUCAAGCGUUGUUCGGAAUCCCUGGUCGUAAAGCGUGCGUAGGCUGUUUCGUAAGUAGUGUGUGAAAGGCGCGGGCUCAACCCGCGGACGGCACAUGAUACUGCGAGACUAGAGUAAUGGAGGGGGAACCGGAAUUCCCGGUGAAGCAGUGAAAUGCGGAGAUA
rnacentral:rRNA from 1 species